rnacentral:rRNA from 1 species
UACGGGGGGUGCGAGCGUUGUCCGGAAUCACUGGGCGUAAAGGGCGCGUAGGUGGUUUGAUAAGGGUGUGGUGAAAGUCCGGGGCUCAACCCCGGAUCUGCCGUGCCGACUGUCAAACUCGAGGACUGUAGAGGCAGACGGAAUUCCGGGUGUAGCGGUGGAAUGCGUAGAGAUCCGGAGGAACACCAGUGGCGAAAGCGGCCACCUGGACUGUACCUGACGCUGACACGCGAAAGCUAGGGGAGCGAACGGG